rnacentral:rRNA from 1 species
ACGAACGCUGGCGGCGUGCCUAACCCCUGCAAGUCGAACGGAAAGGCCCUGCUUUUGUGGGGUGCUCGCGUGGCGAACGGGUGAGUAACACGUGAGUAACCUGCCCUUGACUUUGGGAUAACUUCAGGAAACUGGGGCUAAUACCGGAUAGGAGCUCCUGCUGCAUGGUGGGGGUUGGAAAGUUUCGGCGGUUGGGGAUGGACUCGCGGCUUAUCAGCUUGUUGGUGGGGUAGUGGCUUACCAAGGCUUUGACGGGUAGCCGGCCUGAGAGGGUGACCGGCCACAUUGGGACUGAGGUACGGCCCAGACUCCUACGGGAGGCAGCAGUGGGGAAUAUUGCACAAUGGGCGGAAGCCUGAUGCAGCAACGCCGCGUGCGGGAUGACGGCCUUCGGGUUGUAAACCGCUUUCGCCUGUGACGAAGCGUGAGUGACGGUAAUGGGUAAAGAAGCACCGGCUAACUACGUG